rnacentral:rRNA from 1 species
UGUAACGGGGCUAAACCAUGCACCGAAGCUGCGGCAGCGACGCUGAUGCGUUGUUGGGUAGGGGAGCGUUCUGUAAGCCUGCGAAGGUGUGCUGUGAGGCAUGCUGGAGGUAUCAGAAGUGCGAAUGCUGACAUAAGUAACGAUAAAGCGGGUGAAAAGCCCGCUCGCCGGAAGACCAAGGGUUCCUGUCCAACGUUAAUCGGGGCAGGGUGAGUCGACCCCUAAGGCGAGGCCGAAAGGCGUAGUCGAUGGGAAACAGGUUAAUAUUCCUGUACUUGGUGUUACUGCGAAGGGGGGACGGAGAAGGCUAUGUUGGCCGGGCGACGGUUGUCCCGGUUUAAGCGUGUAGGCUGGUUUUCCAGGCAAAUCCGGAAAAUCAAGGCUGAGGCGUGAUGACGAGGCACUACGGUGCUGAAGCAACAAAUGCCCUGCUUCCAGGAAAAGCCUCUAAGCAUCAGGUAACAUCAAAUCGUACCCCAAACCGACACAGGUGGUCAGGUAGAGAAUACCAAGGCGCUUGAGAGAACUCGGGUGAAGGAACUAGGCAAAAUGGUGCCGUAACUUCGGGAGAAGGCACGCUGAUAUGUAGGUGAAGUCCCUCGCGGAUGGAGCUGAAAUCAGUCGAAGAUACCAGCUGGCUGCAACUGUUUAUUAAAAACACAGCACUGUGCAAACACGAAAGUGGACGUAUACGGUGUGACGCCUGCCCGGUGCCGGAAGGUUAAUUGAUGGGGUUAGCGCAAGCGAAGCUCUUGAUCGAAGCCCCGGUAAACGGCGGCCGUAACUAUAACGGUCCUAAGGUAGCGAAAUUCCUUGUCGGGUAAGUUCCGACCUGCACGAAUGGCGUAAUGAUGGCCAGGCUGUCUCCACCCGAGACUCAGUGAAAUUGAACUCGCUGUGAAGAUGCAGUGUACCCGCGGCAAGACGGAAAGACCCCGUGAACCUUUACUAUAGCUUGACACUGAACAUUGAGCCUUGAUGUGUAGGAUAGGUGGGAGGCUUUGAAGUGUGGACGCCAGUCUGCAUGGAGCCGACCUUGAAAUACCACCCUUUAAUGUUUGAUGUUCUAACGUGGACCCGUAAUCCGGGUUGCGGACAGUGUCUGGUGGGUAGUUUGACUGGGGCGGUCUCCUCCUAAAGAGUAACGGAGGAGCACGAAGGUUGGCUAAUCCUGGUCGGACAUCAGGAGGUUAGUGCAAUGGCAUAAGCCAGCUUGACUGCGAGCGUGACGGCGCGAGCAGGUGCGAAAGCAGGUCAUAGUGAUCCGGUGGUUCUGAAUGGAAGGGCCAUCGCUCAACGGAUAAAAGGUACUCCGGGGAUAACAGGCUGAUACCGCCCAAGAGUUCAUAUCGACGGCGGUGUUUGGCACCUCGAUGUCGGCUCAUCACAUCCUGGGGCUGAAGUAGGUCCCAAGGGUAUGGCUGUUCGCCAUUUAAAGUGGUACGCGAGCUGGGUUUAGAACGUCGUGAGACAGUUCGGUCCCUAUCUGCCGUGGGCGCUGGAGAAUUGAGGGGGGCUGCUCCUAGUACGAGAGGACCGGAGUGGACGCAUCACUGGUGUUCGGGUUGUCAUGCCAAUGGCACUGCCCGGUAGCUAAAUGCGGAAGAGAUAAGUGCUGAAAGCAUCUAAGCACGAAACUUGCCCCGAGAUGAGUUCUCCCUGACUCCUUGAGAGUCCUGAAGGAACGUUGAAGACGACGACGUUGAUAGGCCGGGUGUGUAAGCGCAGCGAUGCGUUGAGCUAACCGGUACUAAUGAACCGUGAG